rnacentral:misc_RNA from 1 species
GGAAAAUUAGAAAAAAGCCAUGCAUAAUGAUAAUAAGUUGAGGAAGAAUAGUUAAGAACCUCUUAGUUUGGAUAAUUAUCUUAUUUCUAGGGAAAAAAACUUGGAAGAUUAAUCAAUCAGAGUUUACAGGGCUCAUGAUUGAUUUUAGUUUACCAAGUGAGUAACAAAAUGCACUCCACGAGGUUUCCCUAGAAUAUUACUAUCCAAACUAAGAGGUUCUUA